CUUCCAAAUCGAAACGUCCAGCCUUUCUACAGUCGGAGCGGUUGAGAGCAUAUCAUAUAGCAGUUUUGGAAAUAUGAAAGAAUCCGUGCACCACUGUUGUGCCUGAAGCAGUACUGUAUGGAGAUGAUAAUACUUAUCACAUGUGAUACCAACUUUGAAAAUGUGCAACAGUGUGGUGGUAGUGAUGCAGAGAGAGUACAACUGGUUUCACACAACUACACAACAGAAAAAUGAUAGUAAAACUGAAUAAAUCAUAUCCAGUUUGACUGUUCAGUCAUGGUGAAAAACUAUUUAGCACAUAAAACAAAAGCUAAGCUGAUUUGUGCACAAAGGAAAAUUAUGUGCAUUCAAGGAAAGCUGAGAAGGAGGUGUCAGUGAAGAAUUACUACUUGUA